rnacentral:rRNA from 1 species
UGAAUACGAGACGCUAAGGCGUCGAAGUAGUGUAUGUCAUACUUCCAAGAAAAGCUUGCACUGUCAUAGAUAAAAAACGCCUGUACCAUAACCGACACAGGUGGGUAGGUAGAGUAUACUAAGGGGCGCGAGAUAACUCUCUCUAAGGAACUCGGCAAAAUAACUCCGUAACUUCGGGAGAAGGAGUGCCUUAUUCUUAAGGUUGCAAUAACAAGAUCCAAGCAACAGUUUAUCAAAAACACAGGUCUCCGCUAAGUCGUAAGACGAUGUAUGGGGGCUGACGCCUGCCCAGUGCCAGAAGGAUAAAGAAGCUGGUUAGCAUUUGCGAAGCUAGUAACUGAAGCCCUGGUGAACGGCGGCCGUAACAAUAACGGUCCUAAGGUAGCGAAAUUCCUUGUCGGGUAAGUUCCGACCCGCACGAAAGGCGUAAUGAUUUGGAUACUGUCUCGGAGAGGGGCUCGGUGAAAUAGACUUGUCUGUGAAGAUGCGGACUACCUGCACCAGGACAGAAAGACCCUAUGAAGCUUUACUGUAACUUGAAAUUGAAAUUGGACUUUAUUCGCGCAGUAUAGGUGGGAGGCGUUGAUUAUAAUCUUGCGGGAUUAUUGGAGCCAUUAGUGAGAUACCACUCUUGUAAUGUUAGAUUUCUAACUUUGAAUCAUUAUCUGGUCAAAGAACAGUUUCAGGCGGGCAGUUUGACUGGGGCGGUCGCCUCCUAAACGGUAACGGAGGCGUACAAAGGUUUCCUCUGAACGGUUAGAAAUCGUAUCUAGAGUGUAAAGGCAUAAGGAAGCUUGACUGUGAGACCUACAAGUCGAGCAGGGACGAAAGUCGGUCUUAGUGAUCUGACGGUACUGAGUGGAAAGGCCGUCACUCAACGGAUAAAAGUUACCCUAGGAUAACAGGCUGAUCUCCCCCAAGAGUUCACAUCGACGGGGAGGUUUGGCACCUCGAUGUCGGCUCAUCGCAUCCUGGGGCGGUAGUACGUCCCAAGGGUUGGGCUGUUCGCCCAUGAAAGCGGUACGCGAGCCGGGUUCAGAACGUCGUGAGACAGUUCGGUCCAUAUCCGGUGUAGGCGUUAGAAUAUUGAGAGGAGCCUUCUUUAGUACGAGAGGACCGAGAAGGACAUACCUCUGGUGUACCAGUUAUCGUGCCAACGGUAAACGCUGGGUAGCUAUGUAUGGAGUGGAUAACCGCUGAAAGCAUCUAAGUGGGAAGCCCACCUCAAGAUAAG